rnacentral:lncRNA from 1 species
CUCUGGGAAGCUAUCCACAGCCACUGAAGAUCCAGUAUUCUCUGGAGACCGAUCCUCAUUGCCACUGCGUGCAUUAAGGGACCCUGAUGAACUGGAACGGCUCCCCAUGCUGCUGACUUCUUUGUCAUAAUUACCGUUUUCAAUCUGAUCCAAUUUCCUCCGUGCUAGUUGAAGCUGUUUUGAGAGAUCUUUCAGGUUUGCUGCAUGCUUGCGCUUCUGUGUAGUCAGUUCAUCUUUCAGUUCAUCCACGUGGGUCUUCAGC